AAAAGUAAAUAAAGCAGACGAACCAUUCACGUGUUUAUUUUGAUUCAUUGGGUUCAUAAUAAUUUCUCAACAUUACUUGUGAAACUUGUCAUCAUAAAACUCACCUUUACUUAAAAAUAAAGUCAUUACACGUCGAGCACAUGUUGUCUAUAAUUAGACAUUCAGCUGAAAUCAGAUGGAUUCACAUCCAGAUAAUUACUUUGACUUGAAUUUUGGAAAGUGAGUCAUUCCAUCCUACUCCUAGUUCCUACUGACUGAGUCUUACACGAAAAUAUCGGAAUCUGGCAACUUUAUUCUCUGACCAUAUCAUCUCAAACGGCAAGAAGGGCUGAAUCAGAGGACUCGUCACCAGUAGCAACAAUUAGUGAGGCACAAAUUGGUGAAGAAGAAAAUAUUCAUAAUGUAAAACCAGUGCAUUGGCCUACAACAGCUUUUAUUAAUUACAAUCAUCAAAGCUAUUCAAGUUAUUUAAUCGGAAGAUCGUGCAAUCUAAAUGUUGACAAAAGUUCCUCUGAAGUGAAGGAUUAUUCUAAUAAAGAAAAUAGUCAAAAACUGAAAUCAUCUUUAAUCAAUAUUCCAAUGGUCUCAGCUGGUGAUCUACCUCAUCCAAAAAGUCUAAGAAAACGAUUAAGUAAUAGAACUCCCAAGUACAAGAAUGUGAAAGUUAAACAUGAUCAAGCCAUGAUGGUAGAAAACCAUAUUAAACAGAUGAAAUUUCGUAUUGCGAGAGUAAACAGGAAUGAGGAUUUUGUAGUGCUCAACAAUGAAUGUAAUAGUGAUGUAUUCAGUAAUGAUUUAUGUUUAUUAAAUACCAAUGAUUUACCUCCUCUACCACCAAUAAAGACUCCAUUGCAUGAGCACAGAUCAUCAUACCCAGCCAGUUACAUCACACCACCUCAAAUAAAUUAUCGAACUGUCAGCAGGACUAAUACCAACAAAUUACCAGCCUUAGGAUUAGGGAUUAAUGAAAGAUAUUCUAUAAUGGAUUUUUAUAAUCUUGAGCCUAUAAGUUCUCUGCAUGAUACAAACACAAUCCCUAUUCCAUCUAUGUAUAGUUAUUCAACAACAAAUCUAAGAAGACAUUCAGAAACCCCAACAGAUUUUUCGCCAGACCAAGGUUACACCAGAGACAAUGAUAAUGAGGAGGCCUGGCUUUACCAACAAUGGAAACCACGCUGUAUAUUUCCAAGUUAUGAAGAAUAAGUGAUGCACUAUAUUCAACAAAAUGUCUAUU